rnacentral:miRNA from 1 species
CUUUCGGCGCCUAGGAUUCGGU